AAUAUUGGUCAAUGGAUGCAAGUCUGAACCAGCCAUGCCGCGUGCAGGAAGAAGGCCUUCUGGGUUGUAAACUGCUUUUGCCGGGGGAUAAAGUUCCCAUGCGUGGGACAUUGAAGGUACCCGGUGAAUAAGCCACGGCUAACUUCGUGCCAGCAGCCGCGGUAAUACGAAGGGGGCUAGCGUUGUUCGGAAUUACUGGGCGUAAAGGGCGCGUAGGCGGCGCAUUAAGUCAGGUGUGAAAGCCCUGGGCUCAACCCAGGAAUUGCACUUGAUACUGAUGUGCUUGAAUCCGGAAGAGGAUGACGGAAUUCCCAGUGUAGAGGUGAAAUUCAUUGAUAUUGGGAAGAACACCAGUGGCGAAGGCGGUCAUCUGGUCCGGUAUUGACGCUGAGGCGCGAAAGCGUGGGGAGCAAAC
rnacentral:rRNA from 1 species